GAUGAACGCUAGCGGCAGGCUUAAUACAUGCAAGUCGAGGGGCAGCAUGAUUGUAGCAAUACAAUUGAUGGCGACCGGCAAACGGGUGCGGAACACGUACACAACCUUCCAACAAGUGGGGGAUAGCCCAGAGAAAUUUGGAUCAAUACCCCGUAACAUAGCGAUGUGGCAUCACAUUGCUAUUAUAGAUUUUUCGCUUGUUGAUGGGUGUGCGGCCGAUUAGAUAGUUGGCGGGGUAACGGCCCACCAAGUCUACGAUCAGUAGCUGAUGUGAGAGCAUGAUCAGCCACACGGGCACUGAGACACGGGCCCGACUCCUACGGGAGGCAGCAGUAAGGAAUAUUGGACAAUGGACGCAAGUCUGAUCCAGCCAUGCCGCGUGAAGGAUUAAGGUCCUCUGGAUUGUAAACUUCUUUUAUAAGGGACGAAAAAAGGCUUUUCUAAGUUGUCUGACGGUACCUUAUGAAUAAGCACCGGCUAACUCCGUGCCAGCAGCCGCGGUAACAC
rnacentral:rRNA from 1 species